GAUGAACGCUGGCGGCGUGCCUAAUACAUGCAAGUCGAGCGAACAGAUGAGGAGCUUGCUCCUCUGACGUUAGCGGCGGACGGGUGAGUAACACGUGGAUAACCUACCUAUAAGACUGGGAUAACUUCGGGAAACCGGAGCUAAUACCGGAUAAUAUAUUGAACCGCAUGGUUCAAUAGUGAAAGACGGUUUUGCUGUCACUUAUAGAUGGAUCCGCGCCGCAUUAGCUAGUUGGUAAGGUAACGGCUUACCAAGGCAACGAUGCGUAGCCGACCUGAGAGGGUGAGCGGCCACACUGGAACUGAGACACGGUCCAGACUCCUACGGGAGGCAGCAGUAGGGAAUCUUCCGCAAUGGGCGAAAGCCUGACGGAGCAACGCCGCGUGAGUGAUGAAGGUCUUCGGUUCGUAAAACUCUGUUAUUAGGGAAGAACAAAUGUGUAAGUAACUAUGCACGUCGUGACGGUACCUAAUCAGAAAGCCACGGCUAACUACGUG
rnacentral:rRNA from 1 species